AGACCAUAGCCCUGGAGGUUCCAUGAUCUAAUAUAUUUUUUUGAUUUCAUCUAGAAUCCAAUUAACACAUUUACCCAAUACUCCUUUGGCCAAGUUGAUGAUUCUCCACUAUUUGCCUGCCUCACUCUACACUUCUAGCAAGCCACUGCAAGGCUGCAUUGCAGCUAAGAGGAAACCCUCAUUGAAGGCUGCACAGCAAGGAGUGUUGGCAGAGUAGCUAGGUUUCCACUGGAAGAGCACGAGUCAGCACCAUGCUGGGCUCAAGCAUGGAUAUGCACUACUGCUGCCAGAGCAUCAUAAUUUGCAAGCAUUUAUUGAGUACCCUUCAUCUAAUUUUCAUCCUGCGGAAACUAGAAAUUGCUACACUUGCAUGUAAUAAACUUCUGGCAGUUAGCCUUCUGCAUUGGGACACUACCAUUUGGGAGGGAAAAGACCUUUCUGGUGGGUAAAGAUAGGGCUUCCAGUUACUGCAUUUGUUUUAAUACAGCCUAUUCCAUAGGGCGUUGAUGGAGACUCAUUAUAUAACCUUUCGUGGAAAGCUUCUGACUUCUUUCUCAAGGCACAGAGAUCCCAGAGCACCACCCAUGAUGCCAGGCUGGAGGAAGCAGCAGACUAGAGGAAUUCAGGACAGACGAGCCAGGAAAGAGAAAAUGGCAACAGAGUUCAUUGCACCAAAUUCCUGUUUGACAGCAGUAAUGGUCAUCUGUGUACUACUUAAUGGCUUACACAUUACUUUCUCAAACUUUAUCUCUCUUGAUCCUGAUGAUGACUGAUUUGCUCCAGACGACCACCAGAGUACUCCAGACGACCACCAGAGUAAGUGCCAGAGAAUAGGCAAGUAAGUAGGGUAAAAGAAAACUUUAUUAACUUGCCAAUGUGAAGGAGGGGCGAGGUUCACCGGUCUCCCGCGGUGGAGGCUGACGAAGUCGCUCAGGCAUUCUCGGGCGAGGUUCCUAGGUCCCCACACG
rnacentral:lncRNA from 1 species